CGGUGGGACCAAAGUGAAUGAAUUUAUUCAUACGAGACGUUGUAACACCGCUCCGUGGGCGGAAUCCAAUUUUGUUAGCCGUCCCCGCAGACAGAACGGGAACGGCUAAUGCCCGUCACGAAGGGCAUUUGCCGCGUUUUAAGCGGGGGAUAGUUACGGCAUUUAGCGACGAGUCCAAGUUUUUCGUCAGUUCCUUUCCGCGCGCACCUCACAAACUCACGACGCGGCGGGCGCGGCGCCUCUUCCCACGUCAAUUCCACCUCUUUUCCACCAUCGUUAAGGGGGCUAAGUCGAGUUUGAUAGCGGCAGCGCGUUCCUUCGCGCGGUAGUUUACCGCGAAUCCCAAGCUGCAAACGACGUCCUCUCGCCCGGCGAAAUUUGUUUGGAAACUUUAUUCAUUCGUAGCAAACGGUCACUUCGCCUCCUCCCCCUUCCUCUUCUAUCGCCCCGCGUUCCUCUUAGCGGCCGUCUUCCAAUGAAUGAUUUCGACGCAACUCCGUCUCCAGGAGAGAGAGAUCCAGCCUUCAGUUUGCGAAUUACCGGCCCAGGAGGAUGCUCGGCGGUCCCAAGAGGGAGCGACAGAGCCUCUAGUCGCGUUUACGCUAGGGCGUUUACGGAACUGGUUCUCAGGCCAUCUCCGGGAAGAGCAGACAGCGACGACCUAAAUGGAACUCUGCAAUCGAACGAGACGAAAGAGAGGGAGAGAGCCGAGCACGUCGAGUAGAAACGUCUCUCUCGCGGAAGACGGACGUGUAAGCAUCUUCGCAUCGCUAAUGCUGAGAUCUAGACCAGUUCGGUUCGUCGCACCCGGCUCUUUCAUUCCCGUGUCCUCGCGCGAAGAAAUAUUAACAACGAGGGUUCCAAAUAGCGGCGACCCUUCUAGGAUAAAUAGCCCGUGCGAAAAGAGAUUAAUAGAGCGACCCGAAAAAAUUCUUUCCAAUUCUUUCAUGUAUAUCUUUUGACGUUAUAUUAAACUUACGAGCUCGACAAAACGUUUCGCAAAUAAUAUCGCCCUUUCGUUUACAAAGGGUUACGUGACACGACCGCCGAGAAUUCUUUGAAACAUGUUUUGACAUCGACAAUCCCAAGGCAUCGAGAGAAACAUGUAUAAUAUCAUUAUUUUAUCAUUUGCAUAAAUUGAAACAGAAAGGCUGUGAUCAAACAAGCGGCGGGAUAAUCCAGAUGCGCGUGACUAAAUAUAUAAAUAGAAUAAAAGUAAACGCGCGUGAGAGUAACAAGUAUUUUGUGAGAUAACCGAGCUCGUGUAAUAUAUCUACUAAAAUCAAUAGGAAACAUAUAUAGAUAUAAAACGUGAUAUCGUGCCAGUUGAGCGACGCAAGAUACAUUUUGCGAGUUUACUUGAUCGAAUGCGUCAUUACUCCUGUCGGCUGUCGGCUGUCGACUGGCAGGAAUAAUCGGACAAAGUCGACCUUUUAAAAAAAACGGUCAGAUUUUCACAGUCGACAUAAACAUGUCGACGUAAGGAGAAAGCGGAGUGAACACGAAACCGGAUGAGAGUAUUCGCGAAGAUAAAUAAGCACUCUCAUUUCGUCCAGACGGCAAAUUAAAUAUCGGGAGAAUCCUGGCGACUUUAAGUAUACAACAGCGCGCGUUUCAUUAUGACGCAAGUAAUUGGAGAGAAUAAAGUCUCGCCUGGUCUCGCCUGCGUAAAUACAUAGACCGUUUAAUUGCGAACGCAUAGAUAUGCAUUUAGAUAAUAUAAACGUGCGUUUUCUUCGUGUGGCAAAGCGGAUAUUUCAAGCCAUCUGACAAGCUUAAUAAUCGCUGCGCACACUAUCUCGUCAGAGUUAAAUGCUAUGCAUACCAUCGUGGAAUUUAUUGUAAUACGUAAUGUAUGAUAAUGGAUAAAACAUUUGUGAAUUGUAAAUUUUAUGUACGGGCACGUGCAAACGUAUGGGUAAACGCUUCGGACCUCGACGCGCAGGCAAUGUAAUAACGAACAACAAUUAAUUCCUAUUAGAUCAAUUGAACCAAGAUGCAUCCGCGAUGCUUGUUGAUCAUAAAGAAAGGUAGUCUUAACGAGAAAUAAUAGACGGUCACGUGUCACAAUAACGAAACGAUCAAGUUAAUCAACCUUUAUUACCCGUGAAUGCGCGUACCAUUUAUGAUGAGGAGUAUGAAAAAGAUGUUUGAGAAUAUUAGUACGAAAUAUAAGUGACACAAUAAGUAUAACGUUAAUAAUUUACUUGAUGUUGCAUUCUGUGUAUCUCCUCCUUUCGGAAUAAAUAUAUAAUGUAUCGUAAUGGCGGAGCAUCACGAAGAUAAAACAUAUUUGCGCGGAAUGCCCAGACUUUUUUUAUCUUUAAAUAAUUUGCCUGCUAAAAGGCUUGGCGAAUUCCUAACGCAACGCCGAAGACCACACUCAGGCCGGAAUAAAAAAAAAGAAAAAUGUGCACAAAGCAAUUCUAGUAGGAACAGAGACACGCAUAAAAAAACCGACGCGCUUUAUAAAUAUUCGGACCUUUUUAACGUCUCGUUUAAUUCCGGUACUGUGCAGACGGAGCACUGCAAACAGAACGAAACGCUUCUAUUUUCUUCCUUUUUCCAUAAUUAUCUUGAUAUCAAUUACAGAACGUAUCAUGCUACAGAACGUGUUAUUUAAUUUAUCGCGGAACAUGUGGCGGAAUACGAGCUUAAUAGACAUGCGCGUAGUUAAAAUAUUAACGAUGUCCCAUUAUAUCUAUCGAGGAGAGCUCGAAAUUGAAAUAUUCAUACACGUAUAUUUCCUAUUUUCGUAACGCAAAUAUAUUUAUUAUGAUUCUUGGAUGAAUUUUCUCGGAUAAAUUUUUACGCGCGAGCUAGAUAUGUUUCUAAAAAUCCGUCGAAUAUUGGACGCAUCGAAAUGUGCUGCACUGACAAGUCUCACCACAUCGUCGCAUAGCAUUAUUGUCACCGCAACAUGCGUUACCGUAUCCGCGCAAUGCGACAUACUCGUAUCGACUCGGUAAAUAUUUGUUAAGUCAAUGCACCGUUCGCAGCCGUCUUUAGGUAAGAACGUUUACACCACAAGGAGAAAAUAUCACUGCUGUAAUAACAACCCUCUUUUUCUCUUUCUCUUUCUCUGAAGAAGAGACCCGAAAAGAAAGAUUACCGGUCAUUUUUAACGCCAGCGCGAUGCAGGCAGGCACGGUACGUAAACGUGUACCAAAACGGUAGCUGUGACGGUCAACCGCGAUUUUUAGCGUUAUUUGUGGUGGCUCCAUGUCCUCGACUUUUUUUUUUAUCAGACGCAGCUAAAAAUUCCUCGCGGCUUUCAUGCCGAUCAUUCUACACACGGAGCUGACGACGACUAAAGCUCGAAAUAAAAAUAAUCGCGGUCGAAGAUUACGAGAUAAAAAGUAGUAGCAACCUCGCUGGUCUCGGCACGCCGCCGCGCGCGCUGUGCCGCGCCGGUUCGGUUCGACUCGUAAAUUUCGCCCGGGACGCUCCGUCGCGCCGCGACGCGCCGCACCGUGCGACGACGGGCAUCGCGGGCAUACGCCGCGAGGCAUUUAAAACGGAGCAAUUAGCCGAUGAGUGCGGAGGGUGCCGGUUACUUUAUAAUCAUUAACGUCAAAUAUUCUCGGCCGAGCUGGGGGGAGGAGGGGGACGCGGCAGCGCCAGCUGAAGCGACAAGAAACGCCGCGCCGGGACAACGUAUGCGAGAUUAACGCGCGGAAAGUUCCAACCUUGCAAUCCGCUGCUCUCGCGCGCCCUCCAGGCCGUAUACGUACCCCUUCUUAAUAUAUCGCUCGUCCCGCGACUUCUGGGAGCGGCUCGUAUAUACGCACCGUGCGAGAGGCGCAUCGUGCCACGACGCUGAUGGAUUUAUCGCGGAAAAAAAUACGGGAACAGCCGCGGCGCGACCGUGUUCUCAUGUGCCGCGCGUCGCAGAAACGCGCGUUGCUUUUGUUACUCCUCGACGGCAGCCAGGCAGGCAGGCAGCGAAGCCCGGAGAGUGGUGAAAGCUUUAUUUGAAAAUAUAUUCGGGGGGAUUGCCAAGAGAGUGGGAGUCAUAUAAAUCGCGGAAAUUCCGUUUUUCAAAUGUCACUUCACUCGCAGCAACGGCAAAUACUUUAAUGGUUCGACACACCAAUCUUCGAUACCUUCAAUGCGACUCCUCCACGAGCGCGGAGUGUUAAUGGAUAUUUGUGCCGAACGCGCGUGCUGAGUAUACACGUUAAGUAAAUAUCACAAAUUUUAUUGCAAUGGCGGCGUUAAUAUUGUAAAUCGUCGACUGUAAUUGUGUUUGAAGCGCGUAUUAUUAUUAUUAUUAUUAUUAUUAUUACUUAAAUUGUAAUCGAAAUACACGAAACAAUAUCAAGAAUAUUCAUUCAUGUAAAAAUUAAUUCGCACACUGUUAAAUAUUAAAGAAUCACUUGGUAAAUAAUAAAUUACAUGAUUGAAAAUAAUUCAACUUGGGUAGAAUUUGACAGUAUAUUUAAGAAUAAAUUUUACACAACUAUUUGUUCUUGAAGACUAUAUUUGCUUCACGUUAUCUGUUGAUAUUUCGCGAUAGGUUUUAGCAAAUUACUCGCAAAUAUAUUUAAAUCGAGGGACAAUUGCCAAACGAAAGACUACAUUUUCAAAUCACCGCCGACGAUUGACUCGCGCGAGUUUAUUCAAAAGUGGAUACACACAGGCGCAUCCGUAAGUUGUUUGAAUCUUAUCUUUCGUCGGCGUAUCGUCUGUUCCUGCGUUUACCUUGAAUUGUAUAUCCAAUAUCUCCCGAAUGGUAUCGGGGGAGAAGCAAAAUGUGCAGCGAAACGCGCUCGAUACCAACAUAAAUAGAAGUAAUCUUGAAGCAAGCGAUGACGAUGAGAGACGAGAGACGAGAGAAGAGAGGCCACUACCGCCGUCGCCGCCGCCGCCGUCGCUGCGCGCGGCACUACCAUUGGCCGAGAAUUUAAAGGAGCUCGCUGUGCGUUAGAUAAAUGGUUUAAUAACCCGAAAACGAUAACUACCGCGCAAAUGUCUCCCAUAAUUCGUGGCCCUGGAACGUAGUGGUACAACGACCGCCGGGCCGAAGCCGUAACGGCACGUUUAUGUGCCCGGUUGCGACUGUACAUACAUGCAUUUGCCGCGCGUCUCGCGCGCGCGGGCACGUCCGCUCGCUAACGCCCCGUUUGUAUUGCCGUGUUACAAUGAUUGCAACGGCAGCAAUUAUGCGGCGAGCAUGGGAAAUGGUCGCUCCCCCCACGAUCAUUAACGUCGAAUUCUCUUAACGCGGAUCGUAAGUCCCCGCGGCAACGUCCCGCGGCAUCCCGCCGCACGUUGCUCGCGGUAGGCGCGGCGGCGAAACCGCGAGGAACAACAACCGGCAAGCAGCAACUCUGAAGUUACUAACAACAAGCUCGUAAGUUCUCGACCCCCGCGAGCGCAUUUACUUUAAGGAUUCUCCGACCUUCCGUUAGUUCCGAGUGCAUGCGCGCCAUUUAGGUUUACGCUGUGUGUACACGCGCGAAUAUUGUCUUUAAAUAAGUGUACUUUGUACGCUAUAACGAUGUCUAUCCACGGGCGCAGUUAAAAAUAAUAUGGUUUGCUUUAUGCGUCGUUUUUCGUUUUUAUCAAAGUGGAAUGGAAUAAAGAGAAAGGUACAUUUGUUAUAUACUGAAGAGCCGCGCGGAGUGUUUUAAGAGCCUUCGCGGUAGAAAUGCAUAAAGUAAUAAAAAUGGAGAUUAGGGCACCGAGGUAAAUGGCGUAUAAAAGCUAAUGUUGAUGAAAGUACAGAGGAAAUAUCCACGCAACGUAGCAAUGCGGUGUGGAGCCGCCUGGGACAUUUCAAUUCUCAAUUAAUGACUCUGACAUCAUCCCGAAUGAAUGAUAACAAAGCUAUAAUUAUUCUCGUAAUACGGUUCCGCGUUGCAUAUAGUACAUCGAGUCACAUUAUUGUAAUAUUUAUCAUAGUCCUCCUCUGAGGAAGAGGGAAACAUAUAAAAUUUUAUGUUAUGCCAACGUCCUAGUAUUCCAUUUAACGGUCCGUGUAAUUUAUUACCUCUCCGCACAAAGAACGACGUGUAGCGAGGAUAGCGGCGUUAUUACCAGAGGAUGUUUUCGUCCUAUACAUAUACGCGCAAAUAACAAAUAUCUCAUUGCGACGUUGCGAUCUAGCGAACAACCCCCUACGCUUGGGAAUCAGUUAGCGCAAGACACAUUACGACGCUUUCAGCAACGACGAAACCCCCACGCCCAGAUUUACCAAGUCCCGCGAGGACAUCGCGCAAAGAAGCAUCGCGUCGGCGAUCAUCUUCUUGCACGCGCCGCCGUAUCGCGCCUUAUUAUACGUCGUACAACGGCGCGUACGCGUGUACACGUAAACAGGAGAGAGAGUCAUGACUACGUCCAUUUGUGCCUAUCGCGCUUAACGUGUCGUUUAAUCUGCAAGGCGCUUAUGUAUCUCGCUCCCCUGCGCGAACGGACGCGAGCGUUUGCACGAAGUGACAAAACCUGUUUUCAAGCCGCCGCGCCACACCGCGCCACGCCGCGCCACGCCAUCGAGAGGAGAGAACGCGGAUGUAUAGGAGCAGGGGGGUAGCUCUGCGCGCGAGGCCGAGAAACCAGAAGAAAGAUCGCAUGUACACGAGGGGGAGGGAAAGAAAGGGAGGGCGAUCAUGAAAGGGCCGGUUGGCACGGCCGAGGCAUUAUAUCUCACGAAUAUUCGCCUCACGAAACACACGCGCUGCUCCGAAUUAAAAUCGCGGACACGUAAUAAGCAUAUAUUUAAGCUUUAAUAUAUUCUACACUCAAUUUCAUUACUUCCUUCCGUUUUUACGUAAUCGCAUAAAAAUAAUUUCUUAAAUUUCAAAUAAUGCAGAAAAAAAUAUUACUGAUAAUUUCAGAAAUUUAUAUUAUGAGAAAAACGUGGGAAACAAGAUCAUAACCAAUUAAUUGCUAACGUGUCAAGUGCGGAAUUCGUAAUGGAACAUCGAAAACCGAUAAUAGUGGGACAAUUUGUGCAUGUCGUCACGUUGAUUCUGCUUGGAUUAAAACGCUGACCAACCGAAACGCACAGUGAGACGGAGCGAGAACGACGCGUAUGCGUAUUCGUGCCUGCUGGGAGAACGUCUCUCAUUACCGAGAGUGCUCGCCGAUGAAAGAGACUGAAAUAAUUAUCGCGCUCUCGCGCGUUUUCGAGCUUACUCGAGGAAGCCCGCGGCGACCAACCGCACCCUUUGCAAUACGACUGUUAGCAUAAGUCUAAUCAUGGAAAGUCGAUCCGAAGUUGAUCCGCGCGAAGGGAUUUCCGAUUUCCAAUUCGCGGGAUGAUAUAAUACGCGAGAAUUACGGCGCAGAUAGGCUAGAUUCGCCGACCAGACCCGAUCAAAUAUUUGCUUAUGUGCGAAAGUCAUAUCGAAUAUCAGAGAUCGAUGCGGAGUGAUUAAAAGCGGAUCGGGAAAAAAAGGGAAACCUUGGCGGUGAGCGUGUGCGCGGAACGCCUAAGUUCGGCAAAACUGUACCAGAUCGCAUGACGGCCGAGAUGAGAGUAAAAUCGUUGAGCCACGAAAAAAGAUAGGGCUAAUACGAUACCGAUAUCACGUUCGUCGAAUAAGCGUAGCACACUUCGAUAAGCCGUAAGCAAAAUUGACAAAAGGUAAAUCCUGG